rnacentral:rRNA from 1 species
GUGGGGAAUAUUGCACAAUGGGCGCAAGCCUGAUGCAGCGACGCCGCGUGCGGGAUGGAGGCCUUCGGGUUGUAAACCGCUUUUGUUCAAGGGCAAGGCACGGUCUUUGGCCGUGUUGAGUGGAUUGUUCGAAUAAGCACCGGCUAACUACGUGCCAGCAGCCGCGGUAAUACGUAGGGUGCAAGCGUUAUCCGGAUUUAUUGGGCGUAAAGGGCUCGUAGGCGGUUCGUCGCGUCCGGUGUGAAAGUCCAUCGCUUAACGGUGGAUCCGCGCCGGGUACGGGCGGGCUUGAGUGCGGUAGGGGAGACUGGAAUUCCCGGUGUAACGGUGGAAUGUGUAGAUAUCGGGAAGAACACCAAUGGCGAAGGCAGGUCUCUGGGCCGUUACUGACGCUGAGGAGCGAAAGCGUGGGGAGCGAACAGGA